UAGUAUUACAGCUAUUUGAGAAUUUGUCUAGCAGGUUUUCCGGUCUUUACUGGAAAGCCACC
ensembl:snRNA U7 U7 small nuclear RNA